rnacentral:rRNA from 1 species
UACGGAGGGUGCAAGCGUUAUCCGGAUUUACUGGGUUUAAAGGGUGUGUAGGCGGGCCAUUAAGUCUGGGGGUGAAAUCUCCGAGCUCAACUCGGAAACUGCCUUGGAUACUAUUGGCCUUGAAUUAUGUUGAGGUUGGCGGAAUAUAACAUGUAGCGGUGAAAUGCAUAGAUAUGUUAUAGAACACCGAUUGCGAAGGCAGUUAACUAAGCAUAUAUUGACGCUGAGGCACGAAAGCGUGGGGAUCAAACAGG